rnacentral:lncRNA from 1 species
CCAUUUUUAUUUUUUUUAUUUCUUUCUCCCUUAUUUUAAAAAAACUUCAAAAAUCCUCUCAAGGCCUCUCAUCUCUCAAACCCGCACCCCGCUCGGCCUAGGGUUCCGGCCGUUAGCUGACAGUUGCCGGCGCCGGCGUUCGAAAAAUCAUGAAAAUUUGCACUUCUCUCCUGUGAGUCAAAAAAUUAAGCUGUCCCCUUCUCUUUUUAAUCUUUAUAUUUUUCAAAAAGAAAAAUCUAGAUCUAGGAUAUAUUUCGAAAUAAAACAGAAAAAUGAAGAAAGAAAGAGUCAAAUCGCAAGGGAAAGAACCUCCGUCUUCGCCUCGCCCCCAGCCCUCGUCGGAACCUGAAUGGGUUUUAUGACAUUUGGGUUACCAGAGGCUCUCGACUUGUGACGGAGGAUCGACCGAAGGUGAGUUUUUAUUUAUUUUUUAUUUAUGUUUUUAUUUCGGAUAAAAUAAAAGAGUAAAAGAGACACCUUUGAACUGUUUGCUUUUGAUUUUUUUUCUUCUUGUAUUCGAUUUUUUUAAAAAGAAGGCUCUCCCUUACAAUAUGUUUUUCGUGGCCUUUAUAGCCACUGAUACAUGAUUUUAUUACUGUUUCUCUAUUACUGUUUGUCCACUGCUUCCUUCUUUUUUUUUUUGCGCUGCUGUUGCGUGUUUGCUUCACUUUGCAGGGUGUCAAGCAGUGGAGGUGGUUGAAGCAGAGACGUGACACGGCAGAAGAGGUGAUGGGACGGUGGCAGAAGGGCAGAAGGCCCUAGGUGCGGGUUGGAGUUUUCUGUUUCUUCUUUGUGUUGGGCCAUUUGGGCCGUUUAGGUUUUGUUCAGGAUUGGGUUUGUAAUGGGCUUGUUGGGCUGAUCUGGUUUGUAAUGGGCCUUAGCAGUUUGGGCUAGAGACUUUGGGCCUGUUGAGUCAACAUUGUAAUUGGGCCUCUGUUUUUUGUUUUACUGGUAUGAGCCCGGGCAAAUUUGGGCUUGUACAAUUAACAAUAAGCUAAAUUAACUUUACAAUCUAAUUCUUUCAUAUUCUAAGCUUAAAAUCUAUAAUUACAA